rnacentral:misc_RNA from 1 species
AGGAGCACCACGAAAAACACUCCCAAUUGGUGGGGGUGUAGCCGUGAGGAGUCUGUGCGCUGUAGUGGCGCCGGCUUGGUGCACAACAAACUUGUAGAACUGCCAGACACACUAUUGGGCUUUGAGACAACAGGCCCGCAGUCCUGUCCCGUUGGGGGCAGGGGGUGUGUUGUUGCUCCGCUUUGGUGGUGGGGUGUGGUGUUUGAUUUGUGGAUAGUGGUUGCGAGCAUCUAG